CGCUGGCGGCGUGCCUAACACAUGCAAGUCGAGCGGAAUUAGAACUUCGGUUCUAAUUUAGCGGCGGACGGGUGAGGAACACGUGGAUAACCUGCCUUUAACUUAGGAAUAACGUUCAGAAAUGAACGCUAAUGCCUAAUAAGCUCACGACGCUGCAUAGCGAUGUGAGAAAAGAUUUAUCGGUUAAAGAGGGGUCCGCGGCUGAUUAGCUAGUUGGCAGGGUAACGGCCUACCAAGGCAACGAUCAGUAGCCGGGAUGAGAGUCUGGACGGCCACAUUGGGACUGAGACACGGCCCAAACUCCUACGGGAGGCAGCAGUGGGGAAUAUUGCGCAAUGGGCGAAAGCCUGACGCAGCAACGCCGCGUGAAGGAUGACGGUCUUCGGAUUGUAAACUUCUAGCCCGCACAAGCGGUGGAGCAUGUGGUUUAAUUCGAUGCGACGCGAAGAACCUUACCCAAGGCUUGACAUGGUAGUGACCGGAUUAGAGAUAAUCCUUUCCUUCGGGACACUACACACAGGUGGUGCAUGGUUGUCGUCAGCUCGUGUCGUGAGAUGUUGGGUUAAGUCCCGCAACGAGCGCAACCCUUAUUUUUAGUAGCCAUCAGGUUAAGCUGGGCACUCUAGAGAGACUGCCGUGGAUAACACGGAGGAAGGUGGGGAUGACGUCAAAUCAUCAUGCCCUUUGUGCCUUGGGCAACACACGUGCUACAAUGGCUGCAACAAAGUGACGCAAGACGGCGACGUUAAGCAAACCACAAAAAAGCAGUCUCAGUUCGGAUUGUAGUCUGCAACUCGACUAUAUGAAGCUGGAAUCGCUAGUAACCGCGAAUCAGAAUGUCGCGGUGAAUACGUUCCCGGGCCUUGUACACACCGCCCGUCACANCCAUGGGAGUUGGAAACGCCCGAAGUCUGUGGCCGAACCCGUAAGGGACGGAGCAGCCGAAGGUGAAGCCAGC
rnacentral:rRNA from 1 species